AUCACUGUGGUAUUCGGACAAGGAACCAAGCUGAUUGUGACAAGCUCCAGCCUCCGUCCUCCCGUCCUCACUGUCUUUCCUCCGUCCAGUGCUGAGCUGCAGUCCAACAAAGCCUCUUUGGUCUGUCUGUCCAGUCAGUCUGGGCCUUUUGCAGAUGUGACCUGGAUGUCUGGAGGGAGUCCAGUGGUCACUGGGAUCUCUACCAGCACCGCUGUUAAGCAACCUGAUCAGACGUUCCACAUCAGCAGCUAUCUGGCCAUCCAGGCGUCAGACUGGAACAUGGAUAAGGUUUACACAUGUAAAGUGUCUUUGGGCUCCCAGACUGCAGAGAAAAACAUCAAGAAGUCUGAGUGCCUCACUGAACAACAGUAGAGGAGCAGAAGGACCAUUUAACAUCUGCUUCUUCCCUCUUUGUGCUGUUUAUUCAUCACGAGCGUUACAUGUUAGAACAUGUGUCUCCACGCUUGUAGUACAUGUUGUUGACAGUUAGGUAGAGGUGUUGUAUCCGCUUUGCAAACGGUAAAAUGUAGUAAAACCUUUUGAAUAAAAAGCAUUUUGUAAAACAACA